rnacentral:tRNA from 1 species
GCCUGCGUGGUGUAGUGGUCAGCACGCUCGACGCGUAUUCGAGAGGUCCAUGGUUCGAGUCCCAGCGAGGGCA